AGGGAGGGAGAGAGAGUAUAAAAUCCUGGGAGACAGAGAGAGAGAGAGAGAGAGGAGACUUGGUCGGCGUCUAUGAAUAUACGGAGUUGUCGUCGGCGAGGUGGGCUGGUCGUGGUUUUGGGUGAUUCGGUGACUAUCGGUAGAACUGAAGAAUUUGGCGUUUACUCUAAGUCGGGCUACUCUCGUUCUUCCAGUAGAUGACCCUGAGCAAGAGGAGGCAGAGCACGACACCACCAGCAAAUUCAGUUUGAGGAGGUUGUGGGUGAAGGCGACGAGGCCCUUGCGGAGGCCAUCGAGGCUGGGGAUCGUAAGGAUGGGCACUAUGACGACAUGACGACUCUGCGGCGGUGGGGCAGCCAAGGACAACUCACUCCAACGUCAUCAAAUAUCUGUGCUGAUUGUUUUUCUGGUUCUUGCUUUUAUUGUUUUUUGUUUGGAAAAUUUCAGAAGUAUGCUUUGCUUUGUGAUUAACUUCUAUCGAUUUUAAUUUGCAUUUUUGAA